rnacentral:ncRNA from 1 species
GGCAUGGCUGAAUUAGUGAUCGGCCUGCUGUAUUUUAGCUCUUAUAUUGGAGAAAGUUAUGUCACUAACUACUCAAGAAACUGCAGCAAUCAUUGCUGAUUAUGG